UAUAGUGUAGAGCUACUAUACUAUCAGAAGCAUAAAGGAUCUCAUGCUUCCAACUUUUUCACCAUUAGAUUAAAAAUUAUACGGUUGGAAUGAUUGCGGUCCCUCUAGGGUUGAGUAGUCCCCACAGGUUAAUAGUAUUAAUCCAAAGGUCAAAAAUGAUUAAAAGGGUUGAUCUAAAGGCCAAAAAAUCGAAAGCUCGAGAUCCUCUAUGCUUUCGACAGCAUAGUAGCUCUACUAUAUAUAUAGUUUUAGGUGAUAGAUAAGGAUU
rnacentral:lncRNA from 1 species